rnacentral:lncRNA from 1 species
CCAAAAUUUGCUCAUUUAUUUUCUUUACAUUAAGAUCUCUGGUUCUUACCAGUGGGUCAUUUCAAACUCUAUCUCUGCUUCCCCCAGCUAGGGAUAGAAAGCCACUAUUACAGACAGGGGCUGCAUCCUUCAGGUGCUUUCUGCAGAAAUGAGCUCAAUAACCACUGAAGACAGAUGUUAAUGAUGUCUGUUUUAAGGCAAAUUAUUUGGAGACGAGGGUAACCAAGUGGAGCUGAAUGACACUGGAUGGUAAUAACUUAAUUUGCCUCAGUGACAGUUCAUCAGGUCCUUUCACUUCCAUUUUCUCAUCUGACCAUCAUGACCUUAUGGUGUAAGUAAAAAUGAUUACUUCCCUUUUUUCUUUUCUUCAGAGGGGAAAUCUGGGUUUGGAGCAGCUAUACCAUAUAUCUAAGGUCAAACACCUAAGAGGAACUUUUAACUUGGGUCAUUUAAGUGCAAGUGCCUUGUUUUCGCCAUUUUGCCAAGGACAUGGGGCUCAAGUUUGGGUGUGCACCUGGCUUGCAGCAGAACUGGCUGGGAUGGCUUCAUAACUUCCCUUCUAACAAUAUAACAAUAUGCUUCUGUAAAUUUUCACACUGAAUUGGACAAGAAUCAGAAUAUCCUGUUUUGAACAUCUGCACAGAUUGACAAACAAAAAUGGAACAUCAAGACUGACUGGAAAUGGUGAUGUGAAAUUCAUUAAAUGCUCUUGCAAUUGCCAGAGGUGCCAAGACUGAGGCUCAGAGAAAUGAAAUAACAUGCCAAAGGUCACAGUGUCUAGUGGAGCUGGGGCCAAAUUCAGGUUCGCGUGAUUAAUAACACACAGGAAAAACCCUCAACUUCUUUCAUUCGCCUGUUGAGAUAAAGGGAAAGAGAGUCCCCAUCCAGGCCUGCAGGAGAGGGAGAACUGGUGGAUGCAAAUGAAAAAGCAGAGGCAUUCCUCAGGGUCUUGCUCUGCCACCCAGCCUGGAGUGCAGUGGUGCAAUCGUGGCUUACUGCAGUCCCAACCUCCUGGGCUCAAGCAAUCCUCCCAUCUCAACCUUCCCAGUAGCUGGGACUACAGGUGUGUUACCCAAUCAUGUUAAUUUUUUCUUUUGUAGAGAUGAAGUUUCACAAUAUAGACCAGGCUGAUUUUGAACUCCUGGCCUCAAGUGUGCAUCUCAUCUUGGCCUCCCAAAGCGCUGGGAUUACAGGCUGACCCACUGCAACUGGUCAAUUGAGCAUUUUCUAAGCAGUUCACACUGGGAUGGGAAGUAAGGCAAUUCAGUAAAAUAUAGGAUCCAGAUCUUGCUUUUAUGAAGUCAAAAUAUAGGUAAUAGAAAAAACAGUAAAAUGACCGUAACUGAGCAUUUCCUGUGGAUAUGCAUUUAGCAAGGAACUACAUAUGUAGGUUUGACAUUCACAAUAAACCUACCAGAAAAGCAUAACCAUGCCCACAUCACUGGUAAGAAGACUGAAGGCCAGUGGGACCAUCACAAAACAAAAAGCUACAAGAACCUUCUCUCCAGCUAUCUCACUGCUCUCCAAACCCUCUCUGUGAUGCCCUACACUUGUUUGUUCUUGAUUUCUUCAAUGCACAAUGCUUUCAGUUUUUGCUUGAACUUGUGUUCAAAAUGUUCCCUCUGCCUCUAGCUGCAGCUCAAAUAUCCCCUCCUCAGAAAAGGAAGCCUUUCUUGAUCAUUCAUGCCAGGUUGGCCUCUUCUCUUAUGUGCUUAGCACUUAAGAAAAUCUGUAAUUCCCUAUUUAUUUCCAGGAAUAUUUGAUUAAUAUCUUUUUCUCCCACUGGAUUGUAAAUUCCCCGAAGGCACAGCCUGCAUGUGUUACACUCUUCACAUAUCUCCAGCACUUGGUGAAGUGCAAGGCACAUAGUAGGUACCCAGUCAACAUUGGUGGAAAGAAUGACAUAGCAGCUAUUUGCUGACACAGCCGAGAUUGGAAUAGAAACAUGCCUUUCUACCAUGCCAAUUUAUCUUUAUUGUGUAUUCAUCACCUAUUAUCAAAAUGCAUUUGCCAUCUUGUGUUAUCCUACAAAAUAAGGCAAACUAAGCUCUGGUCUUGAUGCCUAAUUAUUAAGUGUUGGUUCAUUCACUCACUCAUUCAUUCAUUUGUUCAUCAUGUAUUCAACAAACAUCUGUUGACCACCUACUCUGUGCUAGGCACUGUUCUAAGUGCCUAGGAUACAACAGUGUACAAAACAGAUACAAGUCCUUAGAAUGAAUGACAUUCUGGUCUAAAACAUGCUAGUUGACAAUCUUGAUCCGAUUUCUAAGUGUCUGAUGUAUAUGGCUGCAUAUUUAAGGUUGCAUGGCAUAUUGAUGUGCAGACUGAUAGACAACUAUUAAUUAAUAUAGAUAUAUUAACUAUGAGGCCUGUCUAUGAAAUGAUGAGGUAAGUGUAGAGAUAAGCCCUCCAUAUGGAUGUAUUCAAAUGACUGGUGCUUUUCAGGAGCCAGGCAUUUAUUUCAUCCAUGUUCACCAUGGCUCACCAUGUAACUAGAACAUCUUUUUGACAGUUGAUUUCAUGACUGGUUUAUGUGCCACAGAAGAAAACUGAGGUUAUCACUAUGCAGUUGCUCUGCAUUUUUGUCCCCAACUUGAUGAUAUAACUGAUCCUAAGACUAUCCAAAAGAAUGUCACUAAAGCCCUGAUGGUCACUCAAAAAGAAGAGUUACCCAAAUGUUUAAGGGAAGGUCACGUCACUAGAAUAGAGACACCACCUUCCGAAGGGACUAAUUUCACAGGAGCAGCAUACAUUGGAUAAACAUACUUUGGUAUGUCCAUUUAAAAAGCAUAUAUAUAUGCCAGCAAAUAAGAUGUAAAAACAAUUCGACAUUAUUAGUAAAAUGAAUGCCAAUUAAAAUUGUAUUCUCAAUUAGAAGAGAUUAAAAAAAUUUUUUUGGUAGAGGCUGUCACAGGAACGGCAGUGUUACACACUCCUGAGGGAAGAGAUUUGUAAAUUAUUAUAAAUUUUCAGAAGGGCAGUUUGUUCACAUGGUUAUAGAAUAUGGAUUCUCUAAAAUGUUCACAUACUUUUUUUUACAUAUGUAAUUAUGCCUUGGGAAAACAAUCACAUAAUUUUGACAAAUAAUUUUUGAAAAAAAUAAUUUUUUAAAUAAUGUAAUGUUUAUUUUUAUCAUAAUACAGAAACAGAACAAGUCAAAUGCAGUGCUAAUAAUAGAAAACAGCAUUAUGCAUUGUAGAAGCAGAAAAAAUGAAUGUGGGAAAGCCUAAAUGCAGUGGAAAGCAGUGAGAUGAAGCUGGAGAGAAGGUUCUUUCAGCUCCCUGCUUUGCGAUGCUCCCAUUGGCCCUCAGCCUUCUUACCCGACAGGUGGGGUGUGGUCACACCUACCUGGUAUUUAUUGUGAAUGUCAAACAUACAUAUGUAGUUCCUUGCUGAAUGCACGGCUCAUAGGAAAUGGGCAAAUCGUUCAUUUGUUAUUAGACAUCUUUAAACCUUUUAACCUUUAAGAAAUACAAGUACAUAAAAUUGAUUCCAUAAAUGAAUGCUCAAAAAUGCACUUCUUAUA